UACGUAGGGUGCGAGCGUUGUCCGGAAUUAUUGGGCGUAAAGGGCUCGUAGGCGGUUUGUCGCGUCGGGAGUGAAAACCAUGGGCUUAACUCAUGGCUUGCUUCCGAUACGGGCAGACUAGAGGUAUGCAGGGGAGAACGGAAUUCCUGGUGUAGCGGUGAAAUGCGCAGAUAUCAGGAGGAACACCGGUGGCGAAGGCGGUCUCUGGGCAUUACCUGACGCUGAGGAACGAAAGCUAGGGGAGCAAACAGG
rnacentral:rRNA from 1 species